rnacentral:lncRNA from 1 species
UGGACACCGGGGGCUUCAGGGGAAGACAUCCAAACGACCGGGAGUCACGCGUGGACUCUUUCGCGCGAGGUUACCAAGCAUGUCCUGAAGAUGAAGAUACUCUCAGCCUAACGUCUCCAAGCAAAUAUUGAUUCAGCAGUAUCCCCAGGCAAAGCCACACCAUAUAUCAGUGAACAGAGAAACAACUGCCCUUCUCCGGGCCCCUGUCUGAGAAGCUGGAGCAUCAGCCCUGGAGCUCUCCGGAGCAGUUUCCUUGCUCACUGUCCCCAGCUGAACACAGCCGCAUGCAGAGGUCCAAAGCACGUAAACAGGAUACCCACCCUGCAUUAUCUUAUAUUUUAAGUCAAUAUGAAGAUGGACAUUCUACCCCUGAGACCAAUUUCGAUCAAAUACUUUUGUCAAUAAAAAGAUACUAAUGUCCGAGUGUGUCCAUUCCUCCUGUUGGUCUGGGUUCUGCUUCUCCACACACCAGCUGCCUCCAAGAGAGGCUUCCAUACUCCAGCAGCUCCUGGUCAGCCUGCACUUUCCUUUAUUCAAGCCAUGUGAGUGAGAAAUAUCAAGGGCAUGGUGGGUUGGCGGGGAGCUGCCCACUUAACCCCAUACCCCAGUGAGUGGGAAUGAAGAUAAAGCGAAUACAACUUACAAGCAUAUC